rnacentral:rRNA from 1 species
UACGAAGGGGCUAGCGUUGCUCGGAAUCACUGGGCGUAAAGCGCACGUAGGCGGCUUUUAAGUCAGGGGUGAAAUCCUGGAGCUCAACUCCAGAACUGCCUUGAUACUGGGAGCUCGAGUCCGGGAGAGGUGAGUGGAACUGCGAGUGUAGAGGUGAAAUUCGUAGAUAUUCGCAAGAACACCAGUGGCGAAGGCGGCUCACUGGCCCGGUACUGACGCUGAGGUGCGAAAGCG